AGUAUCUUUACGCGUAACAGUGAAUCAAUUAACUCACCUGGUUUUGUAGUUGAUUGUCUGCAGUAUCAAUUUUGCGCAGUGAACUUGCCACUUUACUUGCCUAACACAACACUACCAACAUGAACCAGAGGAAGAUGACUUCCGAAGACACACUUAUGACCGUGAUACCGUCGGGCUGGUUGGUCAUUGAAAUACUGUUGGCGAUGAAAAAAGAACGGGCAAUAAAUUCCACAAAAUAGUGAGCUAUAGAUAUUAAUAAGAUGAGUCCGUAUUGUCUACAUCUUGUUGGAUCCCUUUAUAAAAUAAAGAAGUCAGCCAGACAAUGGAGCAAUACGUGACCAGUACACUGAUUGGCACAAUCUUUGCGAAAAAUGCAGUAACGGUGAUGAACAUCCUGUACUUGGACUCAUUUGAGAAGUUUGGAUUACUUAGCAUUGAACAAUAUUUCUUACCGCUAGGAUUGGAAAGAAUCCGAUAAGUAACGUUCUUCGUAAUUUGGUAUGAUCGAUUUUACAGUAAGCAAAAUCAAAUGUUUCCACAACAUUCCAUAAACGUAGCCAUCGGUUCUGAGCAACGUAGAAAAAAGCUGGAUAAACAAUGGCUAUAAAACAAAAGUGAUUGGCAGCAUCUAUUCUGGCAUUCCAGCUUAACGUUGUGGAAGUUGAGAUAUUCAACGCUUUAUUCGUUUCGGUAAAUGGAAACGAAAUUUUCCAAAAUUUGAUUACGAUAAAAUCUACGCUUGCCCAUUGACAAAGCUCGAUCCCAAAAAUGCGCAUCCAGAAAAAGAUCGGCUUGAAACACCAUGCUACAUUACGAUUAAGUGCUGGAACAGCCGGAUCAACUUUGUUCUUCACCAUGGCUCAAAACAAACUAAUCUCACCUUGGCAUGAUGAAAACCUUUUUGAAAAGCCAUCGCAUUCAGGGCUUUGAUUUCCAAAAUAACCUGUCGUGGACGACAUUUUCCUGAGAUGCAAAGAAGAGGAAUUAUAAUAGAGUAAUGAGGAUAUGUUUCACUAAACCCGGUUGUCAUGGGAAUUCGUUUCCUGGCCUACUCUUUUCGAUCUGGCUCCUCCCUCUCGUCCCCGCACGUGUUGACAUUUAAAAAGGUUGAAGGGGCUUGGAAUAGUCGGGAAUCGAACCCAAGUAUCUGAGCUAAAGCAAGAAUACUCAAUAUAUCGUUAUUGAAAUAAAAUUAAGCUACAACAAAAAAAGAAUCACCCUCAGAUUGCCUGACGAUAUCGAUGACGCUAACAUUAAACUCGCGAUUCAAAAAGUUGAUAAACCAGAGCCGAAAAUCAGGAUCAGUCAACCUUUGGUGAGAGGAUAACGGCAUUGGUAACAGAACCAAUCGGUUCGCAGCACUUAUAAUCCACGUUUGGAGUUGUCCACCCCUUUCGUUGAUGAUCGAUAAAUUGAUCUGUUGGAGUGUUGGAUUUUCUACAGCAACAGAUGGAGGAUCAGGUAUAUAAAUUUGGUCAAACGACGGUCGGAUUUGAAUAUCGUGGUGAAAGUUCGUAAAUGGCUGCUUGCAAGUUGGGCAUUCUAAUUUGAUCCGGCACCAAUCAACCAAGCAUCGAAAACAAAAGACGUGCCCGCAGUCGGGAUGGGACUUGUUCAAAUGCGGAUUAAGACAAAUAGCACAUAUACCGUCAUCGUAAUUUCGGAGCAUUGCUCUUGGAUUAGAAGACUCAUUUUUAGUUGCCAUCUUGAUUUGAUUGGUCGUUCAGAUGCGUUUAAUGUCAUCCGAGAGACAUGCCUUUCUCUUGUUGCCUUGGCCUGUACGCAAGCAAUUGGUAAGUAGCCCUCCAGCCUUAUUUAUUUUUCUACCUUUCUGUUCGAUUAGAACUUGUAAUCAUCAUUUGCGUAAUUGCGUACAUGUCAAAAACACCCAUAAAUUUCAAUAUUUGCCCUACAUGGUAAUUUAGUAUUGUUAAUAAAAAGUUGACAAACUGUCA